UACGUAGGGUGCAAGCGUUGUCCGGAAUUAUUGGGCGUAAAGAGCUCGUAGGCGGUGUGUCGCGUCGGCCGUGAAAACCUGCAGCUUAACUGUGGGCUUGCGGUCGAUACGGGCAUCACUGGAGUUCGGCAGGGGAGACUGGAAUUCCUGGUGUAGCGGUGAAAUGCGCAGAUAUCAGGAGGAACACCGGUGGCGAAGGCGGGUCUCUGGGCCGAUACUGACGCUGAGGAGCGAAAGCGUGGGGGAGCGAACAGGA
rnacentral:rRNA from 1 species